rnacentral:rRNA from 1 species
AUUGAACGCUGGCGGCAUGCCUUACACAUGCAAGUCGAACGGCAGCACGGGGGCAACCCUGGUGGCGGGUGGCGAACGGGUGAGUAACAUAUCGGAACAUACCCUAGAGUGGGGGAUAACGUAGCGAAAGUUACGCUAAUACCGCAUACGAUCUAAGGAUGAAAGUGGGGGAUCUUCGGACCUCAUGCUCAUGGAGUGGCCGAUAUCUGAUUAGCUAGUUGGUGAGGUAAAGGCUCACCAAGGCGACGAUCAGUAGCUGGUUUGAGAGAACGACCAGCCACACUGGAACUGAGACACGGUCCAGACUCCUACGGGAGGCAGCAGUGGGGAAUUUUGGUACAAUGGGGGCAACCCUGAUCCAGCAAUGCCGCGUGAGUGAAGAA